rnacentral:ncRNA from 1 species
ACGGAAGCUUGGCGAGGCCAAGGCCGAGCCGGAAGAGAAGGCUCGGACUCCCAAACCAAGCUCCUAGCACGGGUUCCGAGUACCCACGCGGAGCACAUGCCGCGAAAUAGGCAGAAGUGUUGCGGGCCUGCGUAUUUGCGAAAAGCGGACGGCCUCGACAACCCUUUGGGUGGGGUUGCAGCCGUAGCGCAUCGACAAGACGCCGAGGCCACCCACGCAGCCCACCUUGCACGCUUGGUAACCGGGGUCCGUGCUAGCGGGCGGCGAGCCGAAAUCACUACGGAGCGCCGCCCGCAUCGCGUU